CCUACGGGUCGCACCAGUGGGGAAUAUUGCACAAUGGGCGCAAGCCUGAUGCAGCCAUGCCGCGUGUGUGAAGAAGGCCUUCGGGUUGUAAAGCACUUUCAGCGGGGAGGAAGGCGGUGAGGUUAAUAGCCUCACCGAUCGACGUUACCCGCAGAAGAGGCACCGGCUAACUCCGUGCCAGCAGCCGCGGUAAUACGGAGGGUGCAAGCGUUAAUCGGAAUUACUGGGCGUAAAGCGCACGCAGGCGGUCUGUCAAGUCGGAUGUGAAAUCCCCGGGCUCAACCUGGGAACUGCAUUCGAAACUGGCAGGCUAGAGUCUUGUAGAGGGGGGUAGAAUUCCAGGUGUAGCGGUGAAAUGCGUAGAGAUCUGGAGGAAUACCGGUGGCGAAGGCGGCCCCCUGGACAAAGACUGACGCUCAGGUGCGAAAGCGUGGGGAGCAAACAGGAUUAGAUACCCCCGUAGUC
rnacentral:rRNA from 1 species